rnacentral:rRNA from 1 species
GCCUGGAGCUUGCACCGGGUGGAUGAGUGGCGAACGGGUGAGUAACACGUGAGUAACCUGCCCCUGACUUCGGGAUAAGCCCGGGAAACUGGGUCUAAUACCGGAUACGACUGCCGGACGCAUGUCUGGUGGUGGAAAGUUUUUUCGGUUGGGGAUGGGCUCGCGGCCUAUCAGUUUGUUGGUGAGGUAAUGGCUCACCAAGACGACGACGGGUAGCCGGCCUGAGAGGGCGACCGGCCACACUGGGACUGAGACACGGCCCAGACUCCUACGGGAGGCAGCAGUGGGGAAUAUUGCACAAUGGGGGAAACCCUGAUGCAGCGACGCAGCGUGCGGGAUGACGGCCUUCGGGUUGUAAACCGCUUUCAGCAGGGAAGAAGCGCAAGUGACGGUACCUGCAGAAGAAGUACCGGCUAACUACGUGCCAGCAGCCGCGGUAAUACGUAGGGUACGAGCGUUGUCCGGAAUUAUUGGGCGUAAAGAGCUCGUAGGUGGUUGGUCACGUCUGCUGUGGAAACGCAACGCUUAACGUUGCGCGUGCAGUGGGUACGGGCUGACUAGAGUGCAGUAGGGGAGUCUGGAAUUCCUGGUGUAGCGGUGAAAUGCGCAGAUAUCAGGAGGAACACCGGUGGCGAAGGCGGGACUCUGGGCUGUAACUGACACUGAGGAGCGAAAGCAUGGGGAGCGAACAGGAUUAGAUACCCUGGUAGUCCAUGCCGUAAACGUUGGGCACUAGGUGUGGGGGGCAUUCCACGUUCUCCGCGCCGUAGCUAACGCAUUAAGUGCCCCGCCUGGGGAGUACGGUCGCAAGGCUAAAACUCAAAGGAAUUGACGGGGGCCCGCACAAGCGGCGGAGCAUGCGGAUUAAUUCGAUGCAACGCGAAGAACCUUACCAAGGCUUGACAUACACCGGACCGUCCUGGAAACAGGUCCUCUUCUUUGAAGCUGGUGUACAGGUGGUUGCAUGGUUGUCGUCAGCUCGUGUCGUGAGAUGUUUGGGUUAAGUCCCGCAACGAGCGCAACCCUCGUUCUAUGUUGCCAGC